rnacentral:rRNA from 1 species
UACAGAGGUCUCAAGCGUUGUUCGGAUUCAUUGGGCGUAAAGGGUGUGUAGGUGGCGCCGUAAGUCGGGUGUGAAAUUUCGAGGCUUAACCUCGAAACUGCAUUCGAUACUGCCGUGCUUGAGGACUGGAGAGGAGACUGGAAUUUACGGUGUAGCGGUGAAAUGCGUAGAUAUCGUAAGGAAGACCAGUGGCGAAGGCGGGUCUCUGGACAGUUCCUGACGCUGAGGCACGAAGGCCAGGGAGCAAACGGG